CACAAAGAUGCGCUGUGCUUAAACACACACAGCACUUUUACUUGCACUUGUCUUCCCGGAUUUACCGGUGAUGGAAGGCACUGUCAAGCUUGCACACCUCCAGAGCUAGAGACAAGACCAGCAGGAUAUGCAGGAAUUGCUCAGAACGGAACAACAAUCUGCCAGAAAGGAUGGUUUCCAGAAACCUCCAAGCCAGUAACAUGCUCAGAGAGUGGUAUCUUGCAGCCCACUAAAUGCAUAUCUGCAUCUCAGUACCACAAGAAUGAUCUCUAUGUCGUUGUGCCAACAAUCCCCUUUUCCCGUAAUCUGCUGGAGAUGAGUAAUUACAAUGCCACCAAACACUGCAUCGAUACGUAUGGAUAUGACGCAAGACUGUUGAACUUUCAAAAUGCUUUUGAAGUGGAGACUCUCUCCAUUGUGCUCAAGAAACUUGGUGCUGCCGCCGCCAAAGGCCUGUUCUGGU